AACGCAGUCAAGUUUCGGCUGCUUCGUCGCCUCCUUGUUCGGCACCGAAAAAUGACCCAACCCGCCUAGGAGGCCCGCCUAUUCGCCUAGCCACCUAUCGCCCGCCUAGCCGCCUAGCCGUCCCCCUAGCCCCAUUUUUUGAACACUGCGAUUGACUGGAAGUUUGAAACCCGAAAUUGAAAAAGUUUACCUGCAAAUUUGAGCUUGAGAUUGAGAUUUGGAAGCCAAAGCAAGCACAAGUCAUGGGAACCCUAAAUACAAAAUUUGCUGACUUGGGGAUUAUUUCCUGUCUUGUUGAUUGAGUUGAUGGAUUGUUGUUUUUCUGGGGGCUGAUGAGAACACUCAGACUAAUGGAGGAAAUGAACUUAUUUUUCCAGUUUAUCCAGUCCUUCCAUGCAGAGAUACAAUGCAGCGCUCAAGAACAAAUUCCUGUGAUCUUCUUGCCCAGCUUCCUUCUUCUCUGUCCUUAGACUCUGGGAUUUAUGCACAUCCAUUAAUAUCAAACCAGCCCAUUUGGUUGAACUCAUCUUCUAACAGAGAUUCAAGUGCCAUGGCAGAAAGAGAUGGGACCAGAGUUUUGGUUCCAAGUGCAGAGGGUUGAUUGAGCUGUUUGUCUCCAAAGAUAUAUCUGAUGACCAACAAUUGAUUGAUUAUGUCACAGCCCAAUGCAACAUUUCACAGGAGCAAGACACCCUGCUUGGUGUUGGCUGCAAUACAAGCUUCCCUGUCAAUAUAAAUGACAUGAGCACUGAAAUACAGCCACAGCCCUUUCCAGGCAAUGAGAAUUAAGGAAAUGAUCAUCUAAACAGUAAUCAUGUCCAGCAGCUGCCUGUUGUUUCCCCAGUGGAUCAUGAUUCGAAUGUGCCAUACAAUAUAUCAGUUGAUCGAAUCCUUCUCUCCAGCACGUCUCCGAUGAAUGUCCUGCAACAUGUCACUUACAACUCAGAGAACAGAAUGAAGAAUGUCCUUGUUCUUGUGAGAAUUGAUAAUGCCCUUGUAUUUGAUAGAGGUCAUGUGUUGAGCUGAACACGAAUGACCAUCAAAAAUUUCAUCUUUUCUA